UGGGGAAUCUUGCGCAAUGGACGAAAGUCUGACGCAGCGACGCCGCGUGGGUGAUGAAGGCCUUCGGGUUGUAAAGCCCUGUGGGGAGGGACGAAUAAGUGGUGGCUAAUAUCCACCAUGAUGACGGUACCUCCUUAGCAAGCACCGGCUAACUCUGUGCCAGCAGCCGCGGUAAGACAGAGGGUGCAAACGUUGUUCGGAAUUACUGGGCGUAAAGCGCGUGUAGGUGGCAAGGUAAGUCGGGUGUGAAAGCCCUGGGCUCAACCCAGGAAGUGCACUCGAUACUACCUCGCUAGAGUCCCGGAGAGGUUGGUGGAACUCUCGGUGUAGAGGUGAAAUUCGUAGAUAUCGAGAAGAACACCAGUGGCGAAGGCGACUUGCUGGACUUGUAGUGACGCUGAGACGCGAAAGCGUGGGGAGCAAACAGGAUUAGAUACCCCCGUAGUCCCUGAGCGGGCUGGCAAGGCGCAU
rnacentral:rRNA from 1 species